AUCGCCUUCCCCAAACCUAGCUGCCUCCAUUCUCUUCCCUAUGGCGUCUCUCGGCCGUUCCCAAGCAGGGCCUCCCUUGCCGUCUACUAGGGUUAUCAGUGAUGCAGCUCACCUCCUACCAUGAGAUCCCCUAACUCUAGGAGAAGCCGUGCAGCCAAGAUGGAUAUGCGCUACCGCAUCACGUGGAGGUUUGUUGAAGAUCCGCGGCGGCGAGUCAGACCACAGAGGCGCGGUGGCGCAAGUGCACGACAAAGGAAUUUUGUGGAUCCUUGAGCCUUGUCAAGUCUGAUGGCCCAGAGGCAAAGCUGGACAAGCAGAGCGCAUGAUCAGAAUCAACAACCUGUAACACACACCCGAACAACCUGCAGACAUGAUAAAGGUGCUAAGGAUAGUUACGUACUGAAUGAGUAUGAGUUGAAUUCAGGUCGUGCAUCUCAAAGAAUGCCUACUUUACAGACCCUGCUAGAACUGCUUGUCUUGGUUUUAACCUUUAAAAGAAAAAAAUGCAAAUCGGUAUACUGGUCCUCGUAUCUGAUCCAAGGGAACCAAAGUGGAAAUGUAUGCAUGUGCAUUUCACUGUUAAUUCAUUAUUACUCCCUUCUGUUAUCUCUAGAACAUAUCAGUAUCUGUUUCAUUUCUUGUGCUAGAUCUUCAUGUCUUUGGUCUUAUAUAUUUUUAUGGCUGCCAACAGUUUCCUUAAUAUUACUUUUUCCUGGCUGGAGAAUCUGACAGAACAAAAGAGAGAAUUGAGAAAGUGAUUAAGGCUGCUGCUAACCUGUUAUUUACAACAGGGAAUUGAUUAUAUCAUACUGAAGAUGUUAGAGGAGGAGCAUGACGAGGCCUGGGCACAUGAGGAUUGAGCACCAUGAGGCUAGCGUUGCUGACACUCAUCCAACGCUGCUACCUACAGGCCAUCUCGCGGCUCCCCGCUAGCGAUCUCGGGGCAGCUCUUGCAUGAAGUGGGCGUUCGUUAAUCUACUGCUGAUUUUCAUUGUUGUCGGAGACUCGGAGUGCUCUCACACGUACCAAUACCAUUAUAUCUGAAUUACAAUUUCGCGGUUGCAGGGUUGCCUUGAAAUCUAUCCAUGUUUUCCUGCAUCGGGCGAUCAUACUAGGUUAUAUGGCAUUGGCGAAGGCAGAAGUAGACAUGUGGUGGCAAUCAGCGGGGAGGAUGCCAGGCAGGGGUGCGCGGAGCCAAACCUGGCGGUAUCGGCGUUACUGAAGAUUUAUGUCAUUUAUCUCGCCAGAAUUCUUUCAUCAAUGAAACCAUGUUCAGCAGGUUACCUCUGGUUCAAUCUCACCUAAUAAUCAGCAAGGUACAUCACGAAGGGCGAGAUCGAUGUGCAUACUCCAUUUGGGAACAUGAAGCUGUCAGAAAAUAAAAUGGGUGGAUUCACUUGCCUCAAAAAGUAUGAAAGACACAACAAGGGUAUACUGAAUGAUGUAUAUGACACCUAUAUGUUUGCAUGCAUUGUGCAAUAUGGAAGGAGAAACUUUUUUCCUCCACUUCGCCGGUAAAGUUUUGGCUGGAUUUAUGUGAACUAGAAGAUAGGGUUUUAACAGCAUGGUGUCAUCGAGAAAUUUUACAAGUGCAUAGAUAUAUUUUGAAAUUUUCAUUAGUUUUCAGAAAUCUCGAGUUAGUGCAUUUCAUGUUUCACUGAAGCACAGAAAAAGUGAAUGGGCGAAGCGGGUGAACCUUAAGUUUGCUUUAUUUUUGCUGACCUUGUAUGAUCAUAUAUAAUUUCCCAUUACAACAAUAAAUUUGCUGCCAUGCUUU